GAGAUGUGGGGCGUCUUCCACCAAGAGAUUCUGACUAUGAUCCUUACUACAUCAAAGGGGUGUCUGACUUUUUAGAAUCUGCAAGGCCUGUGUCCGGAGGAUUAACAUCGCAUCCUGGAUUCAUUGGUGGAGCUCCGGAAAAAAUGCUUCCUCCGGAUGCCUCAAACACAUUGUUUGUUGAGGGCCUACCUCCUAACUGUACUCGUCGAGAAGUUUCCCAUAUCUUUCGUCCUUUUGUAGGUUUCAAAGAGGUCAGACUUGUGAACAAGGAAUCUAAACGUGCUGGAGGUGACCCCCUUGUUCUAUGCUUCGUUGAUUUUUCAUCAUCUGGUCACGCGGCAGUUGCCCUUGAUGCUUUGCAAGGUUAUAAAUUUGAUGAGGAAGAAGGCAACAAUCUGAGGCUGCAGUUCGCUCGUUUUCCUGGUGCAUCGCGGUCAGGUGGGGGACCGCGAAGCAAGCGCUGAUUUGCAAUGUACUCUUGGGUGUGCCGUGGCAAGACUAUCCAUUUUGACAACAUUGUGCUAAGUUUUAUUGUCUAUCAUCCACCUUGUAGUCUUGACCAUGUUUGAUAACCUAGUGCCUAGCAGUAGGCUUGCUAUUCGUGUC
rnacentral:misc_RNA from 1 species